CCCUGCCUGGCGCUUCCUCCCUGCCUGAGGCCCAUACAAGGCGCUUCCUUCCCGCCGCGUCUGGCAGGCGGCCCGCAGGCGGCUGUGGGCGGGAGCUCGGCCCUCCCGGUCCGCCCGCGCCCGGGAGCCCGCGGCCAGGGGACUCUGCCAAGGAGGGGGCGGCGGCGGCGGGGCCGGGAACGCGUGGCCUGGCCGGGCUGAGGAAACAGCAACCCCUCCAGGCUCUCCUACAGCGUCUCCAGGGACUUAAACGUGCCUCAGCCACGUGAUUACCCUGAUCUGCCUGCUGGGAGAUGAGCAAAGGUCCGAGAGGGACUAGAUCUCAGCAGAGACAGCAGUUCCUGAGCACCCACCCCCGAGCGCUUCCAGAAGUGCAAUGCAACAUGGACCAGCCUGUGAACAUUUGCUCCUCCUCAGGGGCAGCCAUGAGAUACAGAAACAGCGAGAUUAGGAUAUAUCAAGACAUGGAUACUUGCUACCCUGCCUGCCAUUCUCCCUCUUCCUCUCAGAUCUAUGGUGUGUUAAACUGUAAGCAAAUUAUGGGUUCUGGCAACAUAAAUGCAACAGCACAGAAAUUCUGAUUAUUUCAAACAACAUUCCUCCCCAGGCUCUAGCAUCAGUAAUGAAAUGUUAACACACACUUGGCAGUUUUUCAAUUUAUGGUUCCUCCCAUUGUCUUGAGAAGUCAGGCUGUUACAGUGUCUCUAGACAAUACUCAUUCAAUAGCUAAGAGACAAGCCAAAACUGCUUUUUGGAGGAGCCUUUUAAAAACCAAAGUUGUCCAACUCAGAAUUUGAAGAUGCUACCAAUUAAAAGGGACCUGUGUUGAGCAAGUAAACUUUUUUAAACUUAAAAAAAAAAAAAAAAACACAACAAAAAAAAGAACCAGGGUAACCAUCACCUGGCCUCCUUCCUUGGAAUCAGACUAUUACGUGGCACAUGGGAGUGGACCACCUCCUGGUACUCCCACUGCCAACAAGCAGAGGUCUGGUUUCCCGAGGCUGAUGCUACUCUAUGCUGCCAGUGCUCUAACAUACGGAUUUAUGUUUCCUUGCAUGUAUCAUCAAAGCACAUAAACAAUCACAUACCUCUUUGUCUGUAAAAUGAGACUUAUCCUUCUCUUGUUCUGGAGUUAGAUAGAGAAUUUUCUCCUCUGCAGUAUUGGGGGAAAAAAGAUGUGUUAACCUGCUUCUCAGAUACCAAUAGGUUUAAGUUCCAUGAGAUGAAAAUUAGGUUAGAUGAAAGGACUCCUGAACUGAUUCUAUCAACCUUCUUUUCAUAAGCACAUUAGUCAGUAUGCAGUGAAUGAAUGUCUACCAGGUAUACUGGUCCUAUCAUAAGGAAACAUCAAAGACAUUUAAGAUACAGCCCUUAUCCUCAAAAAAUCUUAGGCAGACAUUUAUCAGUUCGAUCGGGUACAGGCUGGGAGUGGGGAACAAGGUACACAUCUGCCUUUUAAUUGCUCCUGAAAUCAGCCACCUUGUCCAAUCUCCACCCCAGGCUUCUUGAAUACACAGGUUAGUAACAAAUGGAAACUUCAUUUACUAAUUAUCAUACCUUCUGUGCCUUGGCAAUGAAGAACAUAUCUCAUGAUAUCCAGAUUUUCAUAGACUAUUAGAAUCUCUACAGCUCCCAUUUCUAAAGCCUUUAGUGUAUCUUCAACUCCGAAACAGUACUUGCCCGUGUCCUGGCUUAUUUCAUCGAAGUAUCGCCCUGUGGUUAGGGACAGGUCA